AUUGUACUCCCACCGUUCAGAAUUACUUGUCUCAGAAAUGGAUGUAUUUAGAACUAAAAUACGUCUAGAUACAUCCAUUUCUGCGACAAGUAAUUCCGAACGGAGGGAGUAGGUU
rfam:Triticum aestivum genome assembly, contig: Triticum_aestivum_CS42_TGACv1_scaffold_112195_2AS